CCAUGCAGUGCGCUGGGCUCAUAUCACGCUGGACCACAGAAGAGGACCACGGAAACAAUCCCCCCAGUGCUCACCCCCCUCUCCCCUCAACUUCCUCUCCCCUCCCCAUGAUGAUCUGUCUCCUACUGCAUCAAGACUGUCUGGAAAUGUGUCUCUUAUCAGUUCACAGACAGCUCCCUGAAGUGACAUAAUAGCUUCAGGCUCCAUCAUCACCCAGAUGUACAUCCACAACAAGAAAACAUUGUGUGUGUUUGUCCAUGAGGAGGUGUGUGUACGUGUGUGUCUGUAAUGUGCCACCUUGUCAAAUACAGAGCUAUAUGUUUAUACAUCUCUCUCUGCACCUUGUUAUGGUCUAAUCUCACAUGUUGAUUUUGAAAGAUGAUUGUGGUUUGGCCAAUAUACAAUCACAACAAUAUCAGUCACUGACAAGUAAAGUGAAUAGAUGACAUGUCUUGUGACUAGACUCAAACAUGUCAUAGUGAGAUAUAUAGAGUGAUAUUGAAGGGGUGAGAGGGUGGUGCAUCUAGCUGUUUUAUAGAACAAGUGUCAAGAGUGAUGACAUUUACCCCUUCCUGUGCCCUCACACACAUAUCGUUGGAGUCAACCAGUUUAUCUCGCCUUUGGAUUUUCCUGGUGCAGACCAUAAAUGCAAAAACCUUUCUGCCAGUUAGCACAAUACUGCCACCCCCAGUAAUGCACAGUGCACUGCAUUUUACCCUUAGUUGUUCUUAUCACAGAGUUCGUCAAAUCACCACUACAUAUUACAAUCGUGUGCACUGAGUGAAUUUAACAAACAAUAUAUCUACCUACACAAGUCUGGAACUUGUAGCCUACUAACCACUAGUACCCUAAGGCCUCUAUGUGUAGGCUUAUCGGUAGGUCUCCCAGACACACAGUAUCUCCCCAAAAGAAACUCAGAUCAGAACACAACCAAAAGUAAUAUAUGGACUAUUUUACAACUAUUUUACCACUAAUCUGAGUUUUGAUGUGAAGGGCACUGCUGCCUGCAGGCCAUCCCUGUUUCUUUCUCUAGGGAGUACUGAUGGCACAACGGAAGUGGAUGCGGAUAUGACGUUUUCUGAAACCCACCCACAACAUUCGCCGCACAUUGAGGGGAUUUGAUUAAUUUGGACCGGGAACUCGUAUAGGCGUGUUUUGCACCGGGUAUUUGGUAUUUAAUUAGGAUCCCCAUUAGCUGUUGCAAAAGCAGCAGCUACUCUUCCUGAGGUCCACACAAAACAUAAUAUAGAAUGACAUAAUACAGAACAUAAUUUAGACCGGGUAAAAGUUGAUUGCAUUCGUUUUGGAACCUGGCUGCCUCCCGGGCGUGAGCCAGGUGCAGGUUAACGUUUAUUGCCAUGAUUCGUGUCCUGUAGGCACCACUGAGCGAUUUCCCAUUCGAUAGGCCAGCUGAAAAGUAAAAAUGGCUAUAUUGUUAGAAUGAAUGCAUUUAAUUUUUUUUUUUUUUAAAGGUUGGUUUUUGGUCGCAGUUUAAGGUUAGGGUUAGGCUUUAGGGUUAUCAGUGUGGUUAAGGUUACACGUAACGGGACAUAGACCGGUGUGCUGCGGCUCGGUAUAAUCGAAUCAGCCCACUGUAUUAUGAAAUGCUCGGAAAAGUAGUGAAAAUAAUCACGGUUUCUCGCACGAAUUCCACAACCACAUGUGCAUGGGAAACGCAGUCAUUCGUGAGUCUGUAAUACUGUAAAAGCCAGCCAUUAUUAUGAGCCGUCCUCCCCUCAGCAGCCUCCGUUGCCAUUGCCAAGCGGAAAGAAUCUACAGACACACCAUUGAAGACCGAUACAAAGAAGCUGAAGCAGGUUGCAAAGUACAUAGCUGGCGGACCAAGAGCCCAAAAAGACCAAGAGAAUGGAAACGGAGAAAGUUCAGAGAAGGGCCAAGCCCAAAACUACAGUAGGGGACAACCAACACCAGUAAAUACUUCCACAAGGCUCCAGUGAAAGAGGAGCCUACUGACAUGACUCCUGAGAGUGAUAUCAUCCCUCCUUUUAUAAGAACUAGGAUAUACAUGUAUACAGUAAAGCCUGGGGGAAAAGAAGAAGAGGAUGAUGAGGACAGUGUGGAGGAUGAAGAAUGUGGAAGAGCUGGCUGAGCCCUUAGGUCCGGUGGAGCCGGUAGAGCCCUGCCCCCAUAGCCUGUGGAGAUAGAGACCCUAGACAUCAUCCGCAAAAAGCAGAAAAGUUGAGAGAUGGUGGAAGAUACAGUCUGUGUAUUUGUAUGUACUCCUUUGGAAAAUCAAGUGCUCCACCCUAGAUAAUACUAUCAGAGACUAGGAUAAUUGGUCAUUUUUCCAAGAUGGAAAUAUGAAUCAAUCAAUCACCAUGACAACUCUAGUGGUAAACCACAUGACUCCAGGGAGAAGAGGAAGGCAGAGUUUGAGACCUACCUGCGACACAUGAUGAACCGCUUCAACAAAGAUGUGGUGGAGGACACACCCAAGGUGAGCACACCCAAACACACACACACACACACACAAGGCCAUGUGGAGGUCCUUACAUCACGUUAUCUCACAGAUUGUCAUGCUACGUUCACCUGAUAACAGAAUGACUGUCGUCCAUUUUCCUCCCUAACAUAUUCUUUUCUCAUCUGAACACUAUAUUCUUACGAUACCGAUUAGUAACAUCUUUCCCAUAGGUCCACUUCGUGUCUUUUAGCCAAUGGGAUGUUCCGGAAUCAGUUGUGUAUUGAACCAGACCUGCUGGCUAUCACCCUGUCUCUGCUGCCCACCCACUUUACCAUGGUGGCCAAGGAACGCAUUGACACUAACUACCCCUCUGGCCUGCUCAACUGGCAAGAAGGGCCUUCAAUUUGUGUGUGUGUGACUUUAACUGUGUGGAAACCUUUUUCUCUGCUUAUUCCUGAACUAUGUUUACCCUUAACCAGACUCAUUUAAUCAUACCUGGCUAUGUUGUUAAGUCUGUGUUGUUCUUUGUAAUUUAUCCUGUUUGAUGUCAUCUUUCUCUCCAGGUUUGGGGAAAUGUUCAUGCUGAACCCAGAUCUUCCCUGUGAGGAGAGGCUGGGACCACAGGCCGUGCUGGAGAGGAGGCUGGGCAGCCUCACUGCUAAAGCGAACCAGGAAAUGACACUUGAGUGACAUGUAUCCUGCACACUGAAGGCACCUUGCAGAAACGUUUGUGCGUGUUCGUCUGUUGCAUAUUCUUUUUUUCACUGCGAAUGGAGUAUGUUUGUGAGGGAGGACCAUAUUAUUUUUAACAACUUGGGCUCUUAUGGUAUGACUUGUUCUCUCUAGACAUAAAUCGGGCCCAACUUGGUUUGGUUUGAUGGGACUCAACUGAAGCCUGUUUCCUUUGUCUUACCUGCAUGAUGUAACUUUGACCUCUGACCCUUGCGCUUGUGUCUGUUUCCUCCAGCUGUUUCUGUAGGUGCUUAGGUUGCAGCUCUUGUCGACUGCUGCUCUCUCUGCCGCCCCUGUCACUGAAGCCUACCCAUCAGCCAAGAGUACAGCCUAACUGAAGGCUUUUUGGUCGUUCUUCGAAAUGAGUGCAUUUUGCAUCCCUUUGAUAUUUUUAAGUAGAAAUUGUGCACCAAUAUUGGAUUUCAAAAGCCUUUUAUAUUACAUGAAGUGCCCUUUAAUAUAGACCACGUGGAGUAUUCAACAAAUCAGAUUUUUUUACAUGAAUAAAGACUUGCUAAAGUGCCAAAA